UACGUAGGUGGCAAGCGUUGUCCGGAUUUACUGGGCGUAAAGAGCGCGCAGGCGGUCGUUCAAGUCGCGUGUGAAAGCCCCCGGCUCAACUGGGGAGGGUCACGCGAUACUGAUCGACUCGAAGGCAGGAGAGGGUAGUGGAAUUCCCGGUGUAGUGGUGAAAUGCGUAGAUAUUCGCAAGAACACCAGUGGCGAAGGCGGCUCACUGGCCCGGUACUGACGCUGAGGUGCGAAAGCCAGGGGAGCAAACGGG
rnacentral:rRNA from 1 species